AUUAGUUUUGCCCUACGGGACGGUAGAAGAAAACAGCAGGAUUCCGAACAGGCAUGAUAAGCCCUACCCAAGCACUUAAAUAAACCCAUCUGUGUCAAGGGACCAGCUCUCGUGCAAAAACCCAAACUACAGAACUCCAACUUCUCUAUCAUUCCCAAAGGCAUCAAAAACAGUACAUUUUAGGCUUGACACAAGAAUGAAGGUAUGGCACUUAACGCCAAAUUGUGGAUAAUACGUUCAUGUAAUAUGAGAAGCCCUGAUUUAAUCAAAUUUAAUAACUUUGCAAAAUUGCUUCAAAUAGGUCUUUAAAUUAGAAAAUCUUGGGGGUUACCGGUAGGGGAUGUCCCGUGCGGUCAUUUGAACUCACAAUGGAAGAGAGUUUUGUUAAAAUUGUCUCAAGUUGGCCCAACCAAAGGUCAUAUUGUGGUGAAGUGAGACCGAAACAGCAAACGGAAAAGUGGCCUCGAUUCGAUUCACCUCGCAUCAGAACUGCUUUUGGCGGGUAGUAGAAUGAAGUUGGGCCACGAGGUAGGAAGUCAGCUGCUUGGAAAUAUUUCUUCGUAAAGGCGAGGUUUUCUGGCUUCCACAAUCAACUGCCAAUACCCACCACCAAAUAGACAUCAAGGGGAGGGACAUACCACUGGUUUUGAGGGCAAUUAUGCAGAAUAUCACUUAUGAAAGAAUUGUUUCAAUGUCCUUUUGUCCAGGAUUCUGGGCUUAAUCUUACCAGAGCUAAGUACUUGUAAAAAUUUUCAAGAAAAUUGUUCCUUGAGAUGAUAAG